GCCGGCGGCUGCCUAACACAUGCAAGUCGAACGAUGCUUUCGGGCAUAGUGGCGCACGGGUGCGUAACGCGUGGGAAUCUGCCCUUUGGUCUGGAAUAACUGUUAGGAAACGACUAGCUAAUACCGGAUGAUGACGUAAGUCCAAAGAUUUAUCGCCAGAGGAUGAGCCCGCGUCGGAUUAGCUAGUUGGUGGGGUAAAGGCCUACCAAGGCGACGAUCCUUAGCUGGUCUGAGAGGAUGAUCAGCCACACUGGGUACUGAGACACGGCCCAGUACUCCUACGGGAGGCAGCAGUGGGGAAUAUUGGACAAUGGGCGAAAGCCUGAUCCAGCAAUGCCGCGUGAGUGAUGAAGGCCUUAGGGUUGUAAAGCUCUUUUACCCGGGAUGAUAAUGACAGUACCGGGAGAAUAAGCUCCGGCUAACUCCGUGCCAGCAGCCGCGGUAAUACGGAGGGAGCUAGCGUUGUUCGGGAUUACUGGGCGUAAAGCGCACGUAGGCGGCUUUGUAAGUUAGAGGUGAAAGCCUGGAGCUCAACUCCAGAACUGCCUUUGAUACUGCAUGGCUUUGAAUCCAGGAGAGGUGAGUGGAAUUCCGAGUGUAGAGGUGAAAUUCGUAGAUAUUCGGAAGAACACCAGUGGCGAAGGCGGCUCACUGGACUGGUAUUGACGCUGAGGUGCGAAAGCGUGGGGGAGCAAACAGGAUUAGAUACCCUGGUAGUCCACGCCGUAAACGAUGAUAACUAGCUGUCCGGCCCCUUGGUGCUAUGGGUGGCGCAGCUAACUGCUUUAAGUUAUCCGCCUCGGGAGUACGGCCGCAAGGUUAAAACUCAAAUGAAUUGACGGGGGCCUGCACAAGCGGUGGAGCAUGUGGUUUAAUUCGAAGCAACGCGCAGAACCUUACCAGCAUUUGACAUGGCCGGACGACUUCCAGAGAUGGAUUUCUUCCCUUCGGGGACCUGAACACAGGUGCUGCAUGGCUGUCGUCAGCUCGUGUCGCGAGAUGCUGGGUUAAGCCGCCGCAUCGAGCGCAACCCUCGCCUUUAGUUACCAAUCAUUGACCUGGAGCUUCUAAAGGAACCUGCCGGUGAUAAGCCCGGAGGAAGGUCGCGGACCAACUCCAAAGUCCUCCCCCGGUCCUUUACGCGCU
rnacentral:rRNA from 1 species